AGUCAUACGCUUGUCUCAAAGAUUAAGCCAUGCAUGUGUAAGUAUAAACAAUUCUAUACUGUGAAACUGCGAAUGGCUCAUUAUAUCAGUUAUAGUUUAUUUGAUAGUACUUUACUACUUGGAUAACCGUAGUAAUUCUAGAGCUAAUACAUGCAUAAACUCCCGACUUUUUUGGAAGGGACGUAUAUAUUAGAUUGAAACCAAUCAGUUUCGGCUGUAUUGUGGUGAGUCAUAAUAUCUUAUCGGAUCGCAGUGGUCUUGUACCGGCGAUGAAUCAUUCAAGUUUCUGCCCUAUCAGCUUUCGAUGGUAGUGUAUUGGACUACCAUGGCGGUAACGGGU
rnacentral:rRNA from 1 species